rnacentral:snoRNA from 1 species
AUUUCUAUAGUUCUCAGGGAUCAGUUCUAUAGCUCAGUACUAGAGAAGUUUUUCUGAUCAUGUAAAGCACCUGAAACCACGAGGAGCCAGAGUAUCCUCUCCUAAAUGUGGAUCUGGUUCUAGGUGUUUUUGCAACUGCUUUUCACCAUUGAUGAUCAUUCUCUUCUUUUGCAGGAGUGAAAGGGAGAGGAUGCAGUCUGAGUGU